rnacentral:rRNA from 1 species
GUCAGCAGCCAUAUCAACCUUCAACUCACAGCUGGCAACCCACUGAAGUUAAGGAGAUGUGAGUCUGGUCAGUACCUGGAUGGGAGGCUCCUGGGAAAAACUAAGGCUGCUGCUA